GGAGACAGCAGGGUGACAGGUAGGCGGCGGUGCUGUCUUUGGGGGAGGCAAAGUGCUAGAUGAAGAGGGGUUUUCUUCUCCUUCGGCCGCGGAAACUACAGACGGGAGCUGGCGAGGGUGGUCUGGAAAGGCGGUAGCCGAAUUGGAAAAUAUUUAACUCUUAACAAAUGAAUUCCCCACUUGAACUCUGCCGAAUUCCUGUGCCACCUCCUCCUUUAGAAAACUGAUCUUAAUACAGAGAUAAAAGAGGAGUAGAAGGUAAAAGAAAAUGCUGGGAACUGACCGUUGUGUUGUGGAAGAAUGGUUAUCAGAAUUCAAGGCAUUACCUGACACUCAGAUCACCAGUUAUGCAGCAACUUUACACCGGAAGAAAACACUUGUACCAGCCCUCUAUAAAGUUAUUCAAGAUUCAAAUAAUGAGGUAGGAGACCUCAAGAAAAAUAAUUUCUACAUAGUGAAAUGAAAUAUGUAUACCAAAACACAUAAAUUUAAGUUUUAUAAUUUUCUUUCCUUGUGGAUCUGGAAAAUUUUCUUUCUGCUGUUUUGCAUUCUGAUAGUUGCUUUGGCUUUCCCUAUUCCCUGCCUUUCCAUAUUUUGAAAUGUUUUGGUCAAAUUUUUUCCUGUUGAGUGUGCAGUAUGUUUUGAUUGUUAAUUUUAUUGACCAUCAUCUCAGUGGAUUAUUUAUUUGAAACUUUUCUGUUUCCUAUUCUGGAAUGUUUCCUGCUCUGGAAGCCAUAUUUUAACUGUAUACUGAUCCAGCUUUAUUUAUCU
rnacentral:sRNA from 1 species